UACAGAGGGUGCGAGCGUUGUCCGGAAUUACUGGGCGUAAAGGGCUCGUAGGCGGCCAACUAAGUCAGACGUGAAAUCCCUCGGCUUAACCGGGGAACUGCGUCUGAUACUGGAUGGCUCGAGUUUGGGAGAGGGAUGCGGAAUUCCAGGUGUAGCGGUGAAAUGCGUAGAUAUCUGGAGGAACACCGGUGGCGAAGGCGGCAUCCUGGACCAACACUGACGCUGAUGAGCGAAAGCCAGGGGAGCAAACGGG
rnacentral:rRNA from 1 species